GGAGAGGUGACCGAGCGGCCGAAGGUGCACGACUGGAAAUCGUGUGUACCCGAAAGGGUACCGAGAGUUCAAAUCUCUCCCUCUCCGCCA
rnacentral:tRNA from 2 species